ensembl:lincRNA
GAAAUAUAUAAAAUACAAAAUUUUAAAAAUUUUAAAAAGGAAAAUAUUCUCUCUAGUGUUGUGUACAGCCUUUGGAUAUCAAAAACAGAUCAUUAACUUCAGUUGUUGUCCACUAGGAGUAAAGAACUAAAAUCACAGGACACUACAUACAGACGAAGUAUCAUGCUUUUGUCAAGGAGAAGGAAAAUGCAGUCCUGGUAAAAAUCUAACCAUCUGAGGCCAGCCAGCUAUCUUUGCCUGAAUGAGAGGGGCUCCUGAGAAUAAGGAGCUAAUGCCAUCCUGGCCUAUAAUGUGCAGACCCCGUUGGAACCCCAUACUUAAUCUGGUUCAUACAUCUCCUCACUCUACAGUCAGAUUGCCCUCUCACCCUCAGCAGGACCCCACAUCCCACAUUAUUGGGAAAGUGAAGAGGAUUCAAGAUGGCAACAGUGCUCAAAGGGAAGGAAGAUAA